rnacentral:tRNA from 1 species
GGAGGAGUGCCGGAGCGGUUGAACGGGCCUGUCUCGAAAACAGGUGUGGUAGCAAUGCCACCGGGAGUUCGAAUCUCCCCUCCUCCGCCA